UGCCAGCAGCCGCGGUAAUGCGGAGGGUGCAAGCGUUGUUCGGAAUUAUUGGGCGUAAAGCGCGUGUAGGCGGUUCGUUAAGUCUGAUGUGAAAGCCCGGGGCUCAACCUGGGAACUGCAGUUGAUACUGGCCGACUAGAGUAUGAAAGAGGGAGGUAGAAUUCCAUGUGUAGCGGUGAAAUGCGUAGAUAUAUGGAGGAAUACCAGUGGCGAAGGCGGCCUCCUGGUUCAAUACUGACGCUGAGGUGCGAAAGCGUGGGGAGCAAGCAGGAUUAGAUA
rnacentral:rRNA from 1 species